GCAACAGAUUACUUGAGAUCACUAGAGAAACUACCACGGCCAAUCAUCUGUUUGCUUCGUCCUCCCAGCUGUGCUUGGUCCGUGACUGGAUAGAGAUGCAAGCGCCUCGUCUUGAGGGGGUUGAUUUGAUGCAGGAGAGGCAUCAUAUCGCACCAUGCGGCUGUUCGCACAUUGAAGGUUCAUUCACCCUCAAUGAUUGGAUUCAAAGACUUCGGGGCGACAAAGCGUUGCCCCUACUGCAUUGAUAAGCUACAGUACUAAGGGUUUGGAGAGGUGCCAACGCGGAAUACUCCGCAGGAUAUAUAACUGACCACUCCCUGUGCUAACUCACACAAAAUGCUUCAGAAGAAAUUGUUAGACCACACUCACUUUGUUCGCACAUCGAUUCGAGCCCUUCACAUUUGUGAUCCCAAUAUUUUGAAUCCCCAGCGAUUUCCAACGAAAGCCGCCAUAGUCGAGCCAUCCCUCAAGGAGUAAGUACACGCCGGGCUGUUUGCUGGAAAGUGUUAAUGGAAUCAUCCAGUGGUUAAAUUCUCAGUCAAAGUUGUCAAAGAGUUCGCGGCGGGAGUCCCCUGGAACAAGGUGUUCUAAAAGGUGGCGAACUCUGAGAGAGGAACGCGAAUAUUCCCAAGCCAGACACCUAAGAACGAUGAGAAAUACAACCUACGAUUUGAUAAGGGAUCCAUGAGUUAAUCCUUCGGGCCAACAAGAAUGCUGAGAACGCCGGCGUCAGGGCCGCUGCAGCCGCGAACAGCCAUAAAAUAUGGGCUAAAAUCCUUGUCGACCCUGAGAAUGUUGAUGAAAAGAAGGCAGAGGCGGACUUGAUCGAGUCAUUCAAGAAUACCGACUAAAGGUUGCAAAGGUCGUGCGGGUGCUGGUUAUAUGAGUGGUAAAUUUGAGAAUGUAUUUAUGAAUCAUGGGCACGUCCUUCUCUUACAACCAAGGUUAGCGAGUCAUUGCCACAGCCCAACUCUGUAUGUUGCCUACUAUCUUCGAAGUUUGAUCAGCCUAUAGCAAUCACUUUUUCCUCAUAGAAUAAUAAAUGGCUUGCGCGCCAAAGAUGGGUUACAGAAGAAGCGAACAGUACCAGGCGCCUAAGAUAGAAAAACGUAUUGUGAGCCAAAAAUAGAUUGCAUGACAGGCGAAGUUAAGAGAAGGUUGUGUGCUAGAAAGCCAAAGAUAUUGGGGCUAGCAAAACCAGAAAAGAGGAAGGAAGCCUGUUGCCUUACUGAGAUAUCUAUCACUCUGAGUUCAUCAUUCAACAUCUUGCAGAAAGACAAUCAGUGAUAUAUUCUCUGAGUCUUAAUGAUUCAAUAAGUGACUAGUCUAUUUAUCUUUCAAUACAAUAGCACGG
rnacentral:sRNA from 1 species